GACGAACGCUGGCGGCGUGCUUAACACAUGCAAGUCGAACGGAAAGGCCCUGCUUUUGUGGGGUGCUCGAGUGGCGAACGGGUGAGUAACACGUGAGUAACCUGCCCUUGACUUUGGGAUAACUUCAGGAAACUGGGGCUAAUACCGGAUAGGAGCUCCUGCUGCAUGGUGGGGGUUGGAAAGUUUCGGCGGUUGGGGAUGGACUCGCGGCUUAUCAGCUUGUUGGUGGGGUAGUGGCUUACCAAGGCUUUGACGGGUAGCCGGCCUGAGAGGGUGACCGGCCACAUGGGGACUGAGAUACGGCCCAGACUACUACGGGAGGCAGCAGUGGGAAUAUUGCACAAUGGGCGGAAGCCUGAUGCAGCAACGCCGCGUGCGGGAUGACGGCCUUCGGGUUGUAAACCGCUUUCGCCUGUGACGAAGCGUGAGUGACGGUAAUGGGUAAAGAAGCACCGGCUAACUACGUG
rnacentral:rRNA from 1 species